UUAGUCAACAUAGCAAAUCACAGCACCUUCAACUUUAAGCAGCCAGAUCUCUGCUACACUUCAUUUAUGCAUAAGCAAACCCCACAUCUUAGAUAUUGUGUCAUGGAGAAAUGCUCCAUUUUCAAGUUUUCAAACUCUGAAAGCCAUUCUGUUUGCCCAGAUCUCUCGCUGUCUCACUUGCUCUGAGUAUCCGCAAGGCCUUGGGCUUCCAGUGAUGUCCAGCCUCUUGCCUGGUCCCUCAGACCAUUACUUAGUUCAAAUUUAUUUGCCACCUAAAGCAGCCUGGACCCCUGCAUGGGCCCUCUCAGUAGUGUUCCUGCUGCUAUUCCAGAAUCCUUCACCUCUUUGACCUGCAAGUCUAGCUGUGCCCUUUUCCUACUAUGAUUAACCCCAGGUAGGUUCUAGCCUGACACUCAGAAGCUUACACUGGCUUCACUCUUGACUUGAUUGUCUAACAGCAGCUGAGUCCUCUUUUGUGCCUUUAUUUGUUGGCCCCCUCUCUUGUUCACCACACUUGCUCUGCUGCAUCUCCACUCUUCUCAAGCCUCCUAACCUACUUUCAUAACCUCCUGUCUCACGAUUAUUAUACUUGGGCAUCAAUCAAACCACGCCGCUCACCAAUUCUGAAACAAUCCAUAUGUGCCCCCCCAUCUCCAUGCUUUUUCCGUCUUGCUCAUCCCUCAACCUGCAUUAGUCACCCUUAUCAUUGCUGUCAAAAGGCUGUGAAUCCUUCAAGGUCCAGCUGAAGUGUUCCCUUAUUCAUAAUGCCUUCCCUGGGCUCCUCACUCAAAAAAACCUUUGUAUUUCUAUAAAACUUUGUUUAUACUCCUCAUAUGGUGUUUCUGUAUUGGAGCUUCUAGCUGAUGAUUUUGUUUGUCAUAAGUGCAUCAUCUUUGAUCCUUGUGAUGAGCUUCUUGAAGGCAAGGACGAUAAUCUGAUUUUUCUUUGGAUCCUUAGCACAUUGUUGAAUGUGUGACACCUGCCACAUAUUUAUUAAUAAAGAGAAAAAUAGCAAAUCUUGAUCAUUUUAAGAAUAGUGCAUUAGUCUAGGUGACAAAUGAUCGUGAUGUACUAGGGGAGUGAUGAUGGGUAUCUGCUCCAUUCUGAUGAUUGUAAACGUGUAUCUGUGUGUUGAUGAGCAGAGCACUUCCAGCAGAAUGAAAGAAAAAUCCUAGGCAACAUAUCUACAAAGCCCCACACACGCUAAUUCUCCUUAUCUCAUCGUCUGCCAUGCUCUCCCUUGUUGUCUUCCAUAGAGCUGCAUUGACUUGCUUGUAGGCCUGCACACAUCCACUCAUUCAUUUAUUCAUUCAGUAUUUAUUGAACACCUACUCUGUCCCAAGCAUUUUAAGUACUGGAGCUGAACUCGCUAAAGAGGACGUGUACAGCCUUCGCUCUAACGGCAGGUUCCGUUUUAGUUGGGAGAGACACAAACUAAAAGAAAAUAGUAAUAAGUUAUUAAGUAAAUAAAUAAUAAUUUCCGAGUAUUAGUGCCAUGAAGCAAGUGAGCCUGUGGCACGUGUUAGAAAGGGCUGGUCAGAAAGAUGUCUUUGUGGAGAUGACACUGUAGCUGAGGCCUGUGUGACAGAAGAGAACCAGCCCUUAGGAGAUGGGAGGAAGUGUGUUUCAGACCAAGGGAUGAAUGUGUGCAGAGACCCUGAGGCUGAAACAAGCUUGAACCGGGUCAGGUAACUUCUGUGUGAUAAGUACUGUUCUUGGGAUCUAAGGACAUUGUGAAAAAGAAGGCGAGGCCAUACGUGAUAUGACAGUGUUCUACUUUCAAAAGGUGUGAUGCGAAGGUUGGACAAUAGGCAAACAACAGGACCCCCCCCCAUGGGUGAACAGGUUUAUUACCCAUAAUGAUACAUGCCGUGAAUAAAAUGAGUGAUGUGAAAUAGGACGCAAAGGAUGGAUAUUAGUAUUCAUUUUCCACAAGUGAAAAAACCAAGACUCAGAAAAGUUAAAAUUGCAUGGGUCAUAUUUUAGAGGUUGCCAGAGUCUUCAGAGCCAGGUCUGUCUGUUCUAUGCACUGUGCAGGCAUCACUGGUCUCUCUCAUCUUAGUCUGCUUUUGAGGAACUCCCCUCACAUUGAUCUAUAGCUCUCCUGUAGCUCUUUCUACUUUUUUCCAGUUAUCCUGGAAUUCCAUAGUACUGUGUUCUCCUUACUAAAAAUAUAUACCUACAUAUAUAUGUGUAAACCAAUGCUCUCAAUCUCCUUGCAAAGAAGUAGUCAUUGUUAAAAGUUUAAUAUUAAUUUUUUAGCACAUUUCCUAUAUACUGAGAUGCUCAGAAAAUGUAGCUUUAUUUUGUGGGUGUUAUUUUCACAGACAUGAUAUUAUAGUGUUCAUAUGCUGUGGAGCCUGCUCUUUCACCCAGCCUGUCUGGAGGAUAUACACUAAUUUAUCCAUUCUGCUACUGGUGAACGCUUAAGUUACUGACAAUUUUAGAUAAUAUGCAGAUGCUGUAUAUUUCUCUCAUCCAAGUGUGCUAGAAUUUCUCUAGGUCAGAAAGUAAGAAGUACAAUUGAAGGGGCUCCUUCACCUUCCUGUGUAUCAUAAUGGCAUGGGGUUUGGCUCCUUAUCCUGGACUGUAAGCUGCUUGAUUAUAACAGCUCUCUUUGUAUACCUAGGACUUAGCAGAGAGCCAGAGACAACUAACUACUAGCCUGAGAUGAAUGAAAGUGCAGACAAAAACUGUCUGCCUUUUCAGUCAAGGAAUGCUUCCAGCUGUCAAGCCAGUAGCCGCUGCAGCCUCUCCCCAAGGUGUGCCCCGAGGGAGAUUCAGGCUGGAGAAAAACUGGAUACUGGCCCUAUAUAUAUAGUUAAGGUGCCUUUCUAAGGAAUAAUUUAAAUAAGCCCAGACGCUUCCACCUUGCUAUGCAAAGAAAAGCACUAAAUUGAUUGACUUGAGAUGUCUCUCUUUUGGGGGAUUAGUGAUAAUCUUUUGAUGUUCAGCUCCUUUUUGGAGCAGUUCUUAGAGCUGAGAGGCUGCCUCCCAGGCUCUAGUAAGGUUCCCCAAAUAAAACAUUACUCACAACUUUUAGGUUGUGCAUUUUUCUUCAGUCACUGGUAGAAAGUUCUGGAAUCAUCUGUAUUCCAAUCAGUCCCUUUGAAAGCUUUCUUUUAUGAGCAAGCCUCCCUGGUAUACAUAUGGAUCUACUUGCAGCCUUGAGCAAAGCCAGAAACUGGAGCCCUCCUUAUUCUCUGUCUUCUUCCUACAACUAAUUCUUAGCUCUUCUAACCCACCUCUGCAUUUCCCAGUUGCUUUUUCCCUGGGCUGGGUGUUUGCUGAAACUGAACAACUAAGCCAAGCCUUAAUCAAAAUGUCCAUGUGUUUGACAGAUACAUCUUUGGAAAUUUGCCUGAAAUCACAACAAUGCAUGUGGUCCUAAUUUCGUAUUGCCCUAAGAUUUCAAGAUAGACUUGGGUAAUUUUCAUCGCACGUGCCAAGUUGUCCCCCGUUUGUUAUGCUCACAUUUCUGUGAAGAUCACUCAUUCCAUUUAUUGCCUCCAUCACAGGGACAUGAGUCAUAAAAAUAAUGAGGCAGAUGACUAGGGAACAAUAUAUUAGCAAUAAUAAUGGCACUAAUUUCACUCCAGAGAAGGAACAAUCCAAGAAAGAAUUUUCCCUUCCCACCUAUGUCGUUCCUAGUCUAAGGCGUUUGACUGUCUGAAUAACAAGGAAAAUAGGCAACUAGAAUUACAUAGUAGUGUUUUUCAUCCAAGUUGUCCAAGUAGUUCAUAAACCUGGAGUUUCCUAGGGAGCUAGAGCAGGGGUAGGCAAACUAUGGCCCACAGGCCCCAUCUACCCCACUGCCUCGUUUUGUAAAUAAAAUUCUAUUGGAAGACCAAACAGCAUUUAUUUUUUGAUACUACCUAUGGCUGCUUUCUUACUACAAAGGCAGGGUUCCGUAGUUGGAAUGGAGAUUGCCUUACGGCUGCCAAAGCUUCAACUAUAUACCGUUUGGGCUUAUAUAAAUGGUAUAUGAAUGUGUAUAAACUAUCUGACCCUUUACAGAUGCAGAUUGCUAACCCCUGCCCGCCCUGUAGAAGGAGCAGAAUGCAGUGAUAAUUCAGGAACUGUUGCAAGAAGGCAUGGAUAAGCACACUUCCUUCUGUCUAGCGUAAUUGAGCCACACAGCUGUUCAUCUAGCUAGUCCUCCUCUCCUGCCCCCCUCUCCUGCUUCCAAUCCUUCCUCCCUAUCACACCAUCGGAAUCAUUUCACGCAGGAAAAUCCUGGGUUUGUUGCUUCAUUUUUGCCAGGACUCCUCUGUAUAACUUUUAAGACUGUCGGGUUACCACUCUUGUGUUCCAACUGACUCCUUCUGAUUCCCCAGCACAGUCUCCUUGUGCAAGUAGGUUAGCAGUCCGAACGUAUCCGACAGAGACUGCAGUGAGGUCCUGCUUCUGUGCACCUGCCCAAGCGGCUCUCCCUCUUGUGAAUGUCCUUCUUGCUCUCUAGAGGACGUAUCUAAAUCUUACCUGUGCUCUGUGAUCCAGCUCCAGAAUCUCCUUUCUGUGCGACUUAGCAACCCAGCCUACAGAAAUUGAUCAGUUCUGAGGACCAUUCUUGCAACAUAUGGCUUCUAGUAGCCAUACAGAUACCAGUCAGUAGGGUUUGUUGUCUGAGUCUCCCACUCUGUUCUCCUUUACAUCUGUGUUUUAACUUGAUUUUAAAAAGUCUAUCAUCCUUUCUACUCUCUCUCUCUGCUCUAAACAAAUGAAAGCUAAGUGUCUAUUUUUACUUGGAGGUAUUUCAGUGACAAUAACUAGGUAGUAUUUUUCUAGAAAAGCACAACAUAUUGUUGAGGAAAAAAGGUCUUUCUUGUCAGCCUAGCACCUUCCUCCUGCCUCUCUAAAAAUUCAUUUCCCCAGUCCAUACUUAAGGCAGAAUUGCUAAGAAGAAAAAUGCCACUUUAACGAGAAGGAAGUCGAAUGAACCACGGACAUUAACAUUUUCAGAAUUAGAUGGAUAGUAAAGAACAUCAAUCCAAUUGAGUACUUUUUUAGGAAAUCAUGAUUUCCUAGGUCUUAAAUAUGACUAGAAUAUCUCGAAAAACAAAUUGGUACAUGAAUGUGCUGUCAGUGAGAUUCUAUUUUUUCUUCACUUCCACGGUACUGUUUCUUAAGCCCAAGUUGAAUAUUUCACUAUGGCAACAUGAAGUAAAUUGCCCAGCCUCAGACUGGAAUGGAAAAAUUCUAACAUAUAUAUAUGGUACAGUAAGCAAAGAUAUCCCACUGUAAGUGCUUCCAGAGCAAGGUCUUUUGUUGACUGCUCUUUCUGGGUCCUGUGAAAAAAAUAAUCUCUCAGGUCAAGGUUUAUCCUGCCUUUUCAUAUCUCCUCUGCUAUCUCAUUAACUACAACCUGCCUCUACUCUGACCUUUCUUUAAGUCUGUCCCACAUAGUGCCUUCUAAAGUUGUAUUUGUUAUUUAUCUGAAAUUCAAAUCGCCCUGCAUUUUAGUCAGCAGCUCUCCCGACCUAAACUGUUCACUUCCCCAGGUUCCUGUGGCCGAGAGCGGGUACGACAGUGCCUGGCUCCUCUCCUCCAGCCAGGCACCCAAGCCAGGAACCUGGAAGACAUACGAGAUACUAGGCUCCGCCCUCGCGGCAGGCCCUCCAUCGCAGAGUCACGUCCAUACUAUGAACUUGCUACCUCUAAACAUUAGUCCCUCGCCAUCGUAAUUUAAUGUCGCCGCCCUAGAGUCAGCCCUCGUCAGCCUGGGUCUUUGCAGUAACUUCCUGAGCGGUCUUCACACCUGUCCUCUUGUCGCCUCUAUAUUCAUCUCUUACCUGCUCCCCGCCUAUCUCACCAACCUUUGCUCUUCCUGUACCCCCCCCCCACGUGCUGUUGUCCAGCCCUGCUUGUUGUUGGAGCAUGCCAUCUUAUUUCUCAUCUCUGCCUGGAUUCCGGUGAUCCAGAAUGAACGUUCUCCCCCCCUCCCCCCCCGUGGCUGCUUGAAACCACGCUCCCACUCUGCUCCACCUGCCGAGCCACUUACCUUUUAAGACUCAAAGGUCUCGGCAGCUAAAAGCUGUUGAUUACUUGCACUUCCUCAGUUAAUGGAUGAGGCUUCACCACACAUCUUCUCGCCUACACUGAAACUUUCUAAAAGCACAGUGAAGUGGGUUAGUGUUCAUUUGUCGGGGGAAACCACAGUGGUAGAUGGGCUGCACAGGGCACAUGCUGCUUUGUCCAUGUAACGAAGUCAUCACUGCCGGAGUUCUCAUUGUGGCUCAGCAGUAACGAACCCAACUAGUUAACCAUGAGGAUGUGGGUUCGAUCCCUGGCCUUGCUCAGUGGGCUAAGGAUCCAGCGUUGCCAUGAGCUGUGGUAUAGGUCGCAGAUGCAGCUCGAAUCUGGCGUUGCUGUGGCUGUGGUAUAGGCUGGCAGCAAUAGCUCCGAUGUGCCCCCUGGCCUGGGAACUUCCUUAUGCCGUGGGUGCAGCCCUAAAAAGGCAAAAAAAAAAAAAAAAAAAAAAA
rnacentral:lncRNA from 1 species